AUUGAACGCUGGCGGCAGGCCUAACACAUGCAAGUCGAGCGGAUGAAGCGUGCUUUCUCCUGGAUUCAGCGUCGGACGGGUGAGUAUUGCCUAUGAAUCUGCCUGGUAUUGGUGGAUAACGUCCUGAAACGGGCGCUACUACCGCAUACGUCCUGAGCGAGAAAGUGGGGGAUCUUCGGACCUCUCGCUCUCAUAUGAGCCUAGGUCGGAUUAGCUAGUUGGUGGGGUAAAGGCCUACCAAGGCGACGAUCCGUAACUGGUCUGAGAGGAUGAUCAGUCACACUGGAACUGAGACACGGUCCAGACUCCUACGGGAGGCAGCAGUGGGGAAUAUUAGGCAAUGGGCGAAAGCCUGAUCCAGCCAGGCCGCGUGUGUGAAGAAGGUGUUCGGAUUGUAAAGAACGUUAAGUGGGGAGGAAGGGCAGUAAGUUGAUACCUUGCUGUUUUGACGUUACCAACAGAAGAAGCACCGGCUAACUUCGUG
rnacentral:rRNA from 1 species